rnacentral:rRNA from 1 species
UGCCAGCAGCCGCGGUAAUACGGAGGGAGCAAGCGUUGUUCGGAAUUACUGGGCGUAAAGGGCGCGUAGGCGGCCUUGUAAGUCGGGUGUGAAAUGCCGGGGCUCAACUCCGUGCACUGCAUCCGAUACUGCUUGGCUGGAGAAAGGUAGAGGCGAGCGGAAUUCCCGGUGUAGCGGUGGAAUGCGUAGAUAUCGGGAAGAACACCUGUGGCGAAGGCGGCUCGCUGGGCCUUAUCUGACGCUGAAGCGCGAAAGCGUGGGGAGCAAACAGGAUUAGAUA